CCAUAGGUGGUCCCGAGAGAUCGGGACUGAAAAGGGAAGCCGGUGAGAUACCGGCGCGGUCGCGCCACUGUAACUGGUGUAGCCCACCCCAUGUAGCAUCGCCACUACUCCGACGAGUCGGGGUGGGAAUGCCGGGGUUAGGGACCGAACCAGGAGCCAGGAGACCUGCCUAUGACUU
rnacentral:ncRNA from 1 species